rnacentral:lncRNA from 1 species
UUCACCAAUUCCAUUCCUGACCUUCUGUCCCUGGAGGUAACCAUUAUCCUGGUAUUGGUGUUCCAUGGAUUUAUAUAUUCAUGGUGGGUUUAUUAUCUUCAUUUUACUGAUGAAGAGUCUGAGGCUUGGAGAGAUUAAGUUACCCGCAGAGAGCCAUUCAAUUUAUAACUGGUGGCACUAAGAUUGGUGCCUAGGUCUCUCUGGUCCAAAGCCAUGUACUUCAUGGCAAGACUACAUCCGUCUUCCUGAAGCCCUAUGUAAAUCAUACCAUUUUCAAGUUUUGAUUGCUACCCCUGAAUUAAAUAUAAGUUUCUCAUCUUGACUUUAUAGCUCUAAAAAAGCAUGACUUCAAUGUACUUUAGUGACUCCAACUCUAUGUAAAUCUCUUCAAAUCCAACAAAACCCAGUAUUGCUGUGUAUUUACUGGCUGUGUAUUAUUGCCUGUGUUUUUCCUCUGUCUUGAAUAUCCAACCCUUCUAAUUUCCAUAGGGCAAACAUCAUACUGACCCUGCGUAAUUUAUCUGACAAAAUACAUCAUUCAUUCAUUCACUUACUCAUGUCAAAUAUUGAUAACUGCAAAGAGCAUCUGACCAAUGGCUGUUUGAGUCUUUGCUCCUUUCUUCUAUCUAGGAAUGUCACUCUACUCAGAACCCUUUAGCAAAGCAUUUUGUAUAUAUUCCUCCAACAUUUUGCCAUAUUGUAUAGCAUUUUGUAUGCUUUUUCUCCCUUUUCUAUAUGAUAACUUUGCCCUUGUAUUAUCAUGAAUGUCUAGCACAGUAUAUAAUAGAUGCCCGUUGAACACUUACUAAAUUGAAUUAUGCACUUAAAAAUGGAUAUCCUGGGACAUAUAAGAAUUGGUAAAUAUACUAGUAUUUCAGCCAGUUAAAACAUACUGAGUACAAAGGUUUUGUUAGGUGAGUAAUGAGUACACACAUAGAGCCCUUUCAAAACAUGCAGGAUCUGGCCCACAUGGAGCCUUGAUAUCUAGUGUUUCUCCACUGAAACACAAAAGAAAAUCUCAACUCCAUCCUUCCACCCACAGAAAAUGGCAUUAACAUCUUAAAUCAAGUUGGCUGCAAGACAUUUGGAUCCAAGCAAGCAAUAUUAGGCCAAAUUUUCACACUGAUACAAUCUGAUGUUAUCUUAUACCACAGAUACUUUGUUCUGUGUUGGCUUGAGUUGUCAUGUAUUAUCAUUGCCAUGUAAAGUGCCAUGGAAAUGAAAGGGGUUGCUCUCAGUGGGUCUUUUUGCAGUUACUGAGCUACAGAGCACCUCUGCUUAAGCUGGAAUAAUAGAUACAGCAGAUUCCCCAGCUAAUUCCAUGUGAGUUUGGUGCCAUUUUAUAGUUUCCCUUGCCUUCAACUAAAACAGGAUAGUGACUUUGAGAUUAUUCAUUGCAAAAGACUGAAAAUAAAUCAUGCAAUAAUGCUAUAUAUUAUGAAAAAAGGUAUGAUUUAUGAUACAGAAAGAAUUUAAUGCUGGAUAGAAAUGCUUGGAUUUACUUCUAUGCCUGUGACACUUAAUUUCACUGAGCUAGGUGGAUUAAGUAAAGAAUGAGAAAGCAAAAAAAUAUAAAACCAGAAUAAAAAAUUCCAGGCUGCUUCACCUUAUUCAACUCCGUGUGCAUGGAUACUGCUAAUUUGGACACAUACCAUUUCCUUUUAAUUAUUCAUCCUCCUAGAAGCUGGACAGACUAGACAUGUGCUAAGGUGUGUUGUGAAAAAGUAAUGAAAUCUUUGCCAUAGGCACCCUCCUCACCUCGCAUUCCAUUCACUUGAUUUAGCAAUACAGUAAUACACUGAGGCUCUUGUCCAAGGAGCACCCUAGCGUUCUCCUUCCUUGGAGCACAUCAAUUUCCAAUACAGUCCAGGUUACAUCAGUGGGCAUCUUUCUGGUGCCCAUGCAAUUUAUAUCAGUGAGCACUGAUUGGGCACCAGAUGGGAUGCCAGAGACAGUGCUGAGUUUUACACUGGAUACAAUAUGAUCUCCUGCCUUGAGCCUCUCAUAACUGAAUAAAACUAUACAGAACUUUUAAGAUACUGUAUUAUAAACUAUUGUUAGAUGUGGCCCACCCCCCCAAAAACACUGUUCAUCGAGCACGUUCUUCAAUGAUGUAUCUGGUCUGUGUGUUCUGAGCAUUCGAUUGUCAUUUUAAUUUAGGGUUGAGUCCGUUCUAACUUUGGCAAAAUGCAACAGCAUUUCCUACCCAGGACUUAAUAGAAAUAAGAAAAAAGAUUAAACAGCUUGAUUGAACCCACACUUUAUAAUACAUUAGAUAUAAUAUACUAAAUAGAUACAAAUAAAUACAUAUAUGCAUAUUCAUUACACACACAUAUAUAUAUAUUCAGAAUUAAAGUUUAAUAAUGAAGCCAUAACCAAUAUGCAGAUGUAACUAAAAUUUAAUUAUAGUGUGAGCAGUCUUGCUAACAGUGUCACCCAAGGGAAUGUCACCAUCAUGGUGGGAUCUAAUUCUUCUAGUUUAUCUCCUGGUUUUAUGCCUGUUUGCUCCAUCCAUUUGCUGCCCCAAACUGGUCCCUUGCUAGGCUGUUUGCUUACUUUUUUAUACCAAGGCUGGCAUACUGUUACAAAGGAUUGUCAUUUUCUUUUUCUGUCACUGCUCUCAAGGUUCAGGUUUUAAGUGUUUAUUGGAUAUUUUACUUUAACUCAUGCUAUUAUUAUUCCUAAUUUUCUAUUGCACAAAUGUUUGCAGUGCUGGGCCAUAGGAUGCACAAUGUCUAUUCUGCAGAACUGCCUCUUACGGCUAU